rnacentral:lncRNA from 1 species
GGCUAGUUUUUGAAUUCUAACCAUUGGGGCUUGACCAAAGAAGGUGGGAAAUUAUUUAAAGGGGCACUAUUCAUCAGAGAGAAUAACUUUUGAAAGGAAUAUCAAAGAGUACUCAAGAACACAAAAGUGCCCUAAUCUUCUUCAUCAAGAGCUUCAUUCAAGAAUCAAAGAAAGGGAUUGAGCAGAUUCAAAGAGGCAUCAAGAGCUCCAUCCCCCCUUGAAGAGUGAAGCAUCCUUGACAAAGAAGAGCAAAGCCACUUCAAAGCGAUAAAUACUUUCUAACUCUUUCUUGUAGCUUAUAUUGUU